rnacentral:rRNA from 1 species
AUACGGAGGAUCCGAGCGUUAUCCGGAUUUAUUAGGUUUAAAGGGUGCGCAGGCGGAACUGUAAGUCACCGGUGAAAUCCUACAGCUUAACUGUAGAACUGCCGGUGAUACUGCGAUUCUUGAGUAUAGUUGAGGUAGGCGGAAUGUGUAGUGUAGCGGUGAAAUGCAUAGAUAUUACACAGAACACCGAUUGCGAAGGCAGCUUACUAAACUAUUACUGACGCUCAUGCACGAAAGCGUGGGGAGCGAACAGGAUUAGAAACCCGGGUAGUCC